UCUAAUCUGCAGUUCGAGAAUACCCUUCCCAGACCCCCGGCCGCUGACGCCGUCCGCCGCUGCCCUCCGUCCGCCGCCGCAAGUCUCCGGUGCCGCUGCCCUUCUGCGCGACGUCCGCUGCCCUCCGCAAGUCGCCAGGCUCCAGUCCGCCACGAGCCGCCCCGCCGCUUCGCCGUCCGUCCGCCGGCCGCAACUCACGCACACGCCUACUGAUUUUGAAUUGCCAUCUUGAAAUCUUGAGGUAUUUGUGCUGAGUGUGUGCUGAAUUCAGUUUCUUAAAUGGGUGUUGGGAUAGUUCUGGGUAUGGGAUGUUAUCGGGUACCGCCUACCGUCGCCGUCUCUGACACAACUCCCUCCUUUCCCUCUCCGUCUCUUCUCUCGCAUUGCUCCUCUUUGCUCUCUGUCGGCGCUACCUCCAGCACGCAGCGGCGAUUAGGUUGAACACUACUGUAUUUUAAGCUGAUUGUUUUCCAGUUACUGCAUAGUCAGUUGGUUUCGUUGUUUUGAUUCCAAAUCUCAGCUCCUUUUUGGUCAUCAGUCGAAUGCAUAAUAUAUGUUUGAUGAAAUGCUAAGCAAUCGUCACCGUGCUAUAACCACUGUAUGGUCGGUUCUGGAGCUUCGCAGAUUCGAGUUAAUUGGAUAAAUGACAAAAUAGAAGCGAAAGAGCUGUAUCUGUUUUUGAUAAAAUGAUGCUUCUCACAGGCAGAAAUUGUAGAAUUAAUCAACAUUUCAAUAUCUAUCAGAGGCUGAGUGUUGCCUUGUUUUGUUCCUCUAUGGAAAAGGGCGCAGAAAUUGAAAGAGUUGUGAGAAUGAUUAGUGAGCAUCCUUUUCCAGAUCAGCCACUACGUCCCACUCUACAAUGCCAAAUUCCCCCGGCUGCCUUGUCAACCCCGUUUGUUGAAAACGUGCUAGGUAGCUUGUUUGGUGCCCAUACCAAUGGCCUGAAAGCAUAUGAAUUUUUCAAAUAUUGCCUUGAUUGUAAGCUCUAUGUUCCUAGUUCUGGUGCAUUUGACAAGACACUGCAUAUUCUUGCACGUAUGCGUUACCUUCACAAAGCAUGGGAGUUGUUAGAGAGUAUCAAGCGGAGCCACCCUUCCUUGCUUACGCUCAAGUCAAUGAGCAUAAUGUUGUCUAGAAUAGCGAAAUCUCAAUCCUAUGAAGUCACCCUAGAAGCUUUUGAGAAGAUGGAGAAGUAUAUAUUUCGAGGAAAGAAAUUUGGUACAAAUGAGUUUAAUGUGCUUCUUCAAGCAUUUUGCACACAGCGACAGAUGAAAGAAGCACGAUCUGUUUUCCACAAGUUGCAUCCUCGGUUUCCUCCCAACACCAAGACCAUGAAUAUUUUGCUGCUGGGAUUUAAAGAAUCUGGUGAUAUUACUGCAGUGGAAUUGUUCCAUCAUGAGAUGAUCCGGAGGGGUUUUAAGCCAAACAGUGUUACGUAUAAUAUCAGAAUUGAUGUGUAUUGUAAGAAAGGGUGUUUUGGUGAUGCUCUGAGACUUCUUGAAGAAAUGGAACGUGCAGGUUUCUCUCCCUCGUUAGAAACAAUAACCACGUUAAUUCAUGGAGCUGGGGUGGCUCGUAAUAUCUCAAAGGCUAAGCACUUGUUUGAGGAAAUUCUUAGAAGGUCUCUACGGCCAGACACUGGGGCUUAUAAUGCCUUAUUGAGUUCUCUGGUAAGAUCAAAGGAUGUGCACGCUGCAGUAAGCUUAAUGGAAGAGAUGGAGAAGAGAAACAUUGAGCAUGACAAUGUCACUUAUCAUAAUAUGUUUUUGGGAUUAAUGAGAUCAGAUGGUAUUGAUGGUGUUUCAGCACUUUAUAUGAAGAUGGUUAAGAAAAAUUUUGUGCCAAAGACUCGAACGGUUGUUAUGCUGAUGAAGUUUUUCUGCCAGAAUAGCAGAGUUGACCUGGGAUUGGACUUGUGGAAUUACUUGGUGGAGAAAGGGCACUGUCCUCACACCCAUUCACUAGACCUCCUGGUUACGGGGCUUUGCGCCCGAGGGAGAGUUGAAGAAUCCUUUGCUUGCUCUAAGCAGAUGCUGGAAAGAGGUAGACUUGUGAGCGAGCGAGUGUUCCAAAUGUUGGAGAGGUUUCUGGAGGAGAUGGGGGAGUUGGAGAAAUUAGAGGAAUUGGAGUAUAUGAUAAAGAAGUUGAAGCAAUUGUUGCCUUCAAGUCCUACAUGAAGUUAGACCAGUAAAAUAUGAUCAAGUUCCAAUUAACGUCGGAAGAACCUAUAAUGUUGCAGAAAUUUAGAAAGCAAAGGAGAAAUAGUUCAAAGCAUAACUUCUUUUUAAGAGGCACAGAAGCACCUUCAUAUCUCAGGGUUUUGAGGGGACGUAGUGACAUGUAAUAGCUUUUGAAUGGAAAUGGGGAAGGAUGUAACCAAUUCCUUCACUAUGUUGUGGAUGGAGCUUGAUGAUAGCCAGAUGACUGUCAACAUCAUAUGAUUUUUGGAACUUCAUUCACAUGGUUAGCUAGACAAACCUCUCAUCGACAGCAGAGGCUAUGCCAGAUGAAGCAGUGACACAGGUCUGAAUGACGGUGUUCUCUUGGCGCGUGAAGGGAUGAGUCAACAUGCCAAAUUUCGCCAUCAACUUGGUCCAAAUCUUGACAAAGAAGAACCCGAGUAAAGCAGCUGAUAUAUUGAGUGAAGGUAUGAUUCCAGUGGUGAGGUUGAGUUUCAUCACUAUGCAGCUGAACAGUAGUGACAGCAGAAAGCCUACAGCAAAGGCUCUCACACUCAACUGCUUCCUCCAUGAUGACGCCUCCUUGUUUUCGAACAUCCUCUCCACAGAUAACUCUUCAUCUUCCAAUUCUUUUGCUUCUCCUUUUUUCAAGUUUUCUUCGCUUUUUUGUUUUCCACAUUCUAUGCUGCUUUCAUCCUCCACCACAUUGAUUUCACUUGCAUUGCCCAUUGAUUCUGCCUAUUAUUAGGAGGGUAGUAUUUCUUCUUCUGGUUAACAAUCAAAAGUAGCACAUUUUAUGUUAGCAAC